GACAGCAGUCGCCACGGUAAUACGAAGGGUGCAAGCGUUACUCGGAAUUACUGGGCGUAAAGCGUGCGUAGGUGGUGGUUUAAGUCCGUUGUGAAAGCCCUGGGCUCAACCUGGGAAUUGCAGUGGAUACUGGGUCACUAGAGUGUGGUAGAGGAUAGUGGAAUUUCCGGUGUAGCAGUGAAAUGCGUAGAGAUCGGAAGGAACAUCUGUGGCGAAGGCGACUAUCUGGGCCAACACUGACACUGAGGCACGAAAGCGUGGGGAGCAAACAGGAUUAGAUACCCGCGUAGUCCCUGUCUCUUAUAC
rnacentral:rRNA from 1 species